CCCUUAGAUGUUCGGGGCCGCACGCGCGCUACACUGACGAAUGCAACGAGCUUAUAACCUUGGCCGAAAGGUCUGGGUAAUCUCCAAAUUUCGUCGUGAUGGGGAUAGAUUAUUGCAAUUAUUAAUCUUCAACGAGGAAUGCCUAGUAAGCGCAAGUCAUCAGCUUGCGUUGAUUACGUCCCUGCCCUUUGUACACACCGCCCGUCGCUCCUACCGAUUGAAUGGUCCGGUGAAGCGUUCGGACCGUGGCCUUUGGACGGUUCGCCGUCUGUUGGCUGCGGGAAGUUCGUUAAACCUUAUCAUUUAGAGGAAGGAGAAGUCGUAACA
rnacentral:rRNA from 1 species